rnacentral:ncRNA from 1 species
ACAAAGGCAUGGUCCCGACCUUACUAUCAGCUCUAACCUAACUUACACAUGCAAGUCUCCGCAGCCCAGUGAAUAUGCCCUCAAUCCCCUGCCCGGGGACGAGGAGCGGGCAUCAGGCACAAAUACUUAGCCCAAAACGCCUAGCCUGGCCACACCCCCAAGGGAAUUCAGCAGUGAUAAACAUUGAGCCAUAAGUGAAAACUUGACUCAGUCAACGUUUAAAGGGCCGGUAAAACUCGUGCCAGCCACCGCGGUUAGACGAGAGGCCCAAGUUGAUAAUAUAACGGCGUAAAGGGUGGUUAAGGAUAGAAAAAAUUAAAGUCGAAUGGCCCUCUGGCCGUCAUACGCUUCUAGGCGUCCGAAGCCCUAACACGAAAGUAGCUUUAAACAAGCCCACCUGACCCCACGAAAGCUGAGAAACAAACUGGGAUUAGAUACCCCACUAUGCUCAGCCGUAAACCUAGACAUUCAACUACAAUAAAUGUCCGCCAGGGUACUACAAGCAUUAGCUUAAAACCCAAAAGACCUGACGGUGUCUCAAACCCCCCUAGAGGAGCCUGUUCUAGAACCGAUAAUCCCCGUUAAACCUCACCACCUCUAGCCACCCCAGCCUAUAUACCGCCGUCGUCAGCUUACCCUGUGAAGGAUAUAGAAGUAAGCAGAGCGGGUAAAACCCAGAACGUCAGGUCGAGGUGUAGCGCAUGAAGUGGAAAGAAAUGGGCUACAUUUUCUACCGCAGAAUAUUACGAAUAUGCACCAUGAAAAAAUGCUUGAAGGAGGAUUUAGUAGUAAAAAGGAAACAGAGAGUCCUUUUGAACUCGGCCCUGAGACGCGUACACACCGCCCGUCACUCUCCCCUGUCAAAAUGCACCAAAAAUACCUAAUACCAUAGCACCGACAAGAGGAGGCAAGUCGUAACACGGUAAGUGUACCGGAAGGUGCACUUGGACCAAACC